rnacentral:rRNA from 1 species
AUGAUAUUUGGAUUUACGAUCUCAUUCAUGGAAAUUGUGCAAGAUAAUGAGCAACAGACAUUAUUUCAUCCCAGUGAAGCUCCAGCGCGACUGCUUCGUGUGCUGCCUCGAGUCGCGCGGCCACUACGCCCGCGCCGAGUCGGAGGCCGCUGCCACUCUCGACGCCCUCCGCUGCGCGCUCUCGCCGGCGGCGUUCGCAAAGCCUUGUCGCGGCGCUGCAAGUGUUGCCCCCCUCCUCCCCAAGGGCAAGGUGAAGGAAGGUGCCUGUGUGGUUCUUCUGCAGCUCGCAGCGAGGAUUGCUGUGUCCAACCUGCACAAGAAUGCCAAGAAGUCCUCGGAGACGUAAGCCACGACGCAUGUUUCUGCCAUUAUUUCCUUCGGUUAGAUUUCGUGGAUUUAGGUGUUGAAAUUUUUUGGGCUGUGGAUGCAGGAUUAAGGACACAUACCUGUACUACAACGAGAGAUAUCUGGGCUGCUUCUUUGUGGCUUCCAAACAUGAAAUGUUUGUUUGGAAGUUAG